AGACGCGUGGCCACAGCCGGCCGGUCAGUGUUCGCAGGCUCCGACCCGGCGGCCAACACCAGUAAGCUACAAGGAGGAGCUUUCCCACUGCCUGUGCUACUACUACCGGCGCGACUUCCCAGCCUGCAGCGUAGGGCGCAGCAAGGGCCUGACGCUGAGCGAGCAGGCGCUGCACACCAAGCGGUUGUCGCCUGGCGGGCACAAACAGAAGGUCAGACAAGGGCAGCAUGUGUGAAGACUGCGGGCCAGACCCGUCACCAACCUCUGAGGAAAUGACAGACUCAAUGGCUGGGCACCUGCCAUCGGAGGAUUCUGAUUGUGGGAUGGAGAUGCUGACAGACAGUCAAGGUGACGUGAUCCGGCCCCUGUGGAAGCAGGUGGAGCUGCUCUUCAACACAAGAUACGGUCAGACAAGGGCGGCAUGUCUGAAGACUGUGGGCCAGGAACCUCCGGGGAGCUGGGUUGGCUGAAGCCAAUCAAAAUUGAGCCAGAGGAUCUGGACAUCAUUGCGGUCACUGUCCCAAGUAAGCGACGGACAUCUGACCACCCCCUGCAGAAAUGAGGACCGUAACAUAAGCCUCCUGAGGGUCUGCCCUGGUGAAGAAGAGGCCUCCAGGCCACUGUUUCUCUCCAUGGAUUCUGAGGCCCACCUGGACCCCUCGCCAACCUCUGAGGAAAUGACAGACUCGAUGCCUGGGCACCUGCCAUCUGAGGAUUCUGAUUGUGGGAUGGAGAUGCUGACACACAGUCAAGGUGACGUGAUCCAGCCCCUGCGGAAGCAGGUGGAGCUGCUCUUCAACAGAUGAUAUGGCCCAACUGCUUCGGGAUCGCCAAGCUCUGGAAGAUUCUGGAGGCCAGCAACAGCAUCCAGUUUGUCAUCAAGAGGCCUGAGCUGCUCACUGAGGGAGUCAAAGAGCCCAUCAUUGACAGUCAAGGUAUAGCUUAACCAGAAAACCUCUGUAGCAUGAGAAUAUUAAUAAUAAUGUAUAUUUUCCUAAGAAAGAACCAAAUCAAUUUUUGGAAGAGGGACGGAUUGUGAAACUUUAUUGAUAAAGAAUUCCGUUCCAAAGGUGUAUUCCAGUCACAUUUACCCUACAUAAAAUACCAACAUCUUCUUAUUGCAAAAACAGAAACUCCGGCCGUUGUAUUGAUGCUGACUUAAGAGAAAUAGAAGCCUCUAUAUAAGGCAAGAGUCCAUACCAGAAGAAUUCGACCAAUAUGAGAUACCUCCAAAAAAAUCAACUCAAUAACCUACUUUAUAUGUAAGAGACCCAAAAAAGUCAGCUUUUGUGGGAAGUUGAUAUGCAGUUUAUUGAACAAACAGAGUGUACAGUAACUAAACGAACUGUGUAUUUCCAAAGGAAUUAAGACCGCAUAUCUGGAUUCACACCUAAAAGCACAUAGAAAAUUAAACCAAAGAAGGGCAAGUUUUGUACUAAAAUCACUUGGGCCCAGGUUAUUCUAUAAGAAGAUUCUCACUGGCAUUUGAUAGUAACUUAUCACCUUCUGUGCGAGCUUGGGAACCAGCUGACUCAGUGAACUGCUUCCUGUCUUCAGUGCGUGAUGACACAGAUGUGUCAAGCUUAAUAGAUCUUAUAUGUAAAUUUAAGAAUAAGAAGUUUUAUACCCACCCUGGUUUUAUUCCAAAGUUACUGCUCUGCAAUUUUGGGCUCCAUCCUUAGGAAGAUACUGGAAAAGCAAGAGAACCUUUCUCAGCUGCCUGUGUGAAGUGACGUUGUUCUAGAACGGUGCCCUGGGGCCUCAUGCACGAUUUCACAAGUAUAGCUGCAUAAUCUGUGGAUGUCACUGAAUGGAAGAAGAAUCAUCAAUGGUAUAUUUAGGUUAUAGAAGGUUCCACUGAGAUAAGAAAAGGUUCUACAAUGCAGGUAGCUGUCAAGCCUCCUAAAUAUUUAACUCGUUUUAGUUAACAUCACACUGUGCAUUGAGUGCAAGAUUCUUUGGUUACACCAUAUUAACCACCAGGAGGAUAACUCCUGGUUUGUAAAAGACAUCAGUGGUUCUUAACGGAGGGGUGAUAUGGCCCCAGGAGACAUCUGACUAUGUCUGGAGAGAAUUUUUCACAGCUCUAGCGGGGGUGCUACUGGCACCUAAUGGAUAUGGAUGGCAGGAAUGCUGCUGAACAUUCUACCAUGCACAGGGUGGCCCCACAACAAACACCUCUCAGGCCACUAAUAUGAAUAGUCCCGAGGUUGAAAUGUCCUGAAAAAGGUUCAGAAAACAUGUCUAGACGUUUGCAAAGUCAAAUGUAUAUUAUGGAGGCUGCAAGGCGCCCCUUGCAUCUCACAGCUGAGGGACCCCGUCACCUCUCACCAUCAGAGGCCCAUUCAUUCCCGCCUUCCAUUCCAGGCCCAGUGCCUGCUCCUUCUCACUGAAGAACUCAAUAGAGAUUUGCUGAAUGAAUGAGGGAAAAAUAAGCUAGAAGCAUAGUUUAAAGUCUUCCAUCGACUACAUUAAACAGCAAUUUU